rnacentral:rRNA from 1 species
UACGUAGGGCGCAAGCGUUGCUCGGAAUCACUGGGCGUAAAGGGUGCGUAGGCGGCUUCUUAAGUCUGGUGUGAAAGCCCAGAGCUCAACUCUGGAAGUGCACUAGAAACUGGGAAGCUUGAGUACCGGAGGGGAGAGUGGAAUUCCUGGUGUAGCGGUGAAAUGCGUAGAUAUCAGGAGGAAUACCGGUGGCGAAAGCGACUCUCUGGACGGUUACUGACGCUGAGGCACGAAAGCGUGGGGAGCAAACAGG